rnacentral:rRNA from 1 species
GCUUAAUACAUGCAAGUCGUGGGUGUAGAGAGGUGCUUGCACUUCUUGAGACCGGCAAACGGGUGCGGAACACGUACACAACCUUCCUUUUAGUGGGGGAUAGCCCAGGGAAACUUGGAUUAAUACCCCGUAACAUGUUGGUGAGGCAUCUCACUGAUAUUAAAGCAGCGAUGCGCUAUGAGACGGGUGUGCGUAUGAUUAGGUAGUUGGGGGGGUAACGGCCCACCAAGCCAACGAUCAUUAACUGGUGUGAGAGCACGACCAGUCACACGGGCACUGAGACACGGGCCCGACUCCUACGGGAGGCAGCAGUAAGGAAUAUUGGUCAAUGGACGCAAGUCUGAACCAGCCAUGCCGCGUGGAGGAUGAGGUCCUCUGGAUUGUAAACUUCUUUUAUCUGGGACGAAAAAAGGGAAUUCUUUCUCGUCUGACGGUACCAGAUGAAUAAGCACCGGCUAACUCCGUGCCAGCAGCCGCGGUAAUACGGAGGGUGCAAGCGUAUCCGGAUUCACUGGGUUUAAAGGGAGCGUAGGUGGGCUAGUAAGUCAGUGGUGAAAUCUCCGAGCUUAACUGGAAACUGCCAUUGAUACUAUUGGUCU